rnacentral:rRNA from 1 species
GAUGAACGCUGGCGGCGUGCCUAAUACAUGCAAGUCGAACGAGAUCUUCGGAUCUAGUGGCGAACGGGUGAGUAACGCGUUGGUACCUACCCUGAAGUGGGGAAUAACUGGCCGAAAGGUCGGCUAAUACCGCAUAAUACCGCAAGGUUAAAGUCGUAAGACGCUUCGGGAGGGGCCUGCGUCCCAUUAGCUAGUUGGUGAGGUAACUGCUCACCAAGGCGACGAUGUGUAGCAGGAUCGAGAGGUUGACCAGCCACACUGGGACUGAGAUACGGCCCAGACUCCUACGGGAGGCAGCAGUAAGGAAUCUUCCACAAUGGGCGAAAGCCUGAUGGAGCAACGCCGCGUGCAGGAUGACGGUCUUCGGAUUGUAAACUGCUUUUAUAUGGGAAGAUUAUGACGGUACCAUAUGAAUAAGCACCGGCUAACUACGUGCCAGCCGCCGCAGUAA